rnacentral:rRNA from 1 species
AUUGAACGCUGGCGGCAUGCCUUACACAUGCAAGUCGAACGGCAGCGGACCUUCGGGUGCCGGCGAGUGGCGAACGGGUGAGUAAUAUAUCGGAACGUACCUUUCAGUGGGGGAUAACGUAGCGAAAGUUACGCUAAUACCGCAUAUUCUGUGAGCAGGAAAGCAGGGGAUCGCAAGACCGUGCGCUGAUUGAGCGGCCGAUAUCAGAUUAGCUAGUUGGUGAGGUAAAGGCUCACCAAGGCGACGAUCUGUAGCGGGUCUGAGAGGAUGAUCCGCCACACUGGAACUGAGACACGGUCCAGACUCCUACGGGAGGCAGCAGUGGGGAAUUUUGGACAAUGGGCGCAAGCCUGAUCCAGCCAUGCCGCGUGAGUGAAGAAGGCC